rnacentral:rRNA from 1 species
UACGAAGGGGGCUAGCGUUGUUCGGAAUUACUGGGCGUAAAGCGCACGUAGGCGGACUAUUAAGUCAGGGGUGAAAUCCCGGAGCUCAACUCCGGAACUGCCUUUGAUACUGGUAGCCUAGAGAUCGGAAGAGGUGAGUGGAAUUCCCAGUGUAGAGGUGAAAUUCGUAGAUAUUGGGAAGACACCAGUGGCGAAGGCGGCUCACUGGUCCGAUACUGACGCUGAGGUGCGAAACGUGGGGACAACAGG